rnacentral:rRNA from 1 species
UAAGGAAUAUUGGACAAUGGAGGCAACUCUGAUCCAGCCAUGCCGCGUGAGUGAUGAAGGCCCUAGGGUUGUAAAGCUCUUUCACCGGUGAAGAUAAUGACGGUAACCGGAGAAGAAGCCCCGGCUAACUUCGUGCCAGCAGCCGCGGUAAUACGAAGGGGGCUAGCGUUGUUCGGAAUUACUGGGCGUAAAGCGCACGUAGGCGGAUCGAUCAGUUAGGGGUGAAAUCCCGGGGCUCAACCCCGGAACUGCCUCUAAUACUGUCGAUCUGGAGUUCGAGAGAGGUCAGUGGAAUUCCGAGUGUAGAGGUGAAAUUCGUAGAUAUUCGGAGGAACACCAGUGGCGAAGGCGGCUCACUGGCUCGAUACUGACGCUGAGGUGCGAAAGCGUGGGGAGCAAACA